CGACGAUCAGUAGCCGACCUGAGAGGGUGAACGGCCACAUUGGAACUGAGACACGGUCCAAACUCCUACGGAAGGCAGCAG
rnacentral:rRNA from 1 species